AAACGGAAUGUACCAGUAUUUCAUCAAGGUAGUACCCACAAUAUAUACCGAUAUCAGAGGCCACACUGUUAACUCGAAUCAGUAUUCCGUGACGGAGCAUUUCAAGGAUUUGGAGUUCAUUAGUUCUAAUUCUCAUCCUGGAGUUUUCUUCUUUUAUGACUUUUCUCCAAUCAAGGUAGGUUCAUUAUAUUCUUAAUCAGAUAUCUGUUGCAUAGUUUCAUGAUAGUAUAGGUAAUUAAAUG